AUUAAACGCUGGCGGCAUGCCUUACACAUGCAAGUCGAACGGCAGCACGGGGGCAACCCUGGUGGCGAGUGGCGGACGGGUGAGUAAAGCAUCGGAACGUAUCCUGGAGUGGGGGAUAACGUAGCGAAAGUUACGCUAAUACCGCAUAUUCUGUGAGCAGGAAAGCAGGGGAUCGCAAGACCUUGCGCUCUGGGAGCGGCCGAUGUCGGAUUAGCUAGUUGGUGGGGUAAAAGGCCUACCAAGGCGACGAUCCGUAGCGGGUCUGAGAGGAUGAUCCGCCACACUGGGACUGAGACACGGCCCAGACUCCUACGGGAGGCAGCAGUGGGGAAUUUUGGACAAAUGGGCGGAAGCCUGAUCCAGCCAUGCCGCGUGAGUGAAGAAGGCCUCGGUUGUAAGACUCUUCGUC
rnacentral:rRNA from 1 species